rnacentral:lncRNA from 1 species
AAAGAAGGCCUCCCCAGUUCGCUUUCGAACCAUUCGGGCCGAUUUACACGAGGCUGUGCUGUGGAAACGGGUGUGUUGGGCAGUCAUACAAUCACACCCAAUGGCAGUAUUGCGUGGCCCAACUCUAACAACAGCAUGCGGGGCAAACUUCGAGAAAAGCCAGAACUGCGCGAAAGGCAGGAGCCGAGAAAUGUUAAUCGUAGUCCUGCGUUAGCUCAGAGACUCAACAGCUCAGGGAACGUCAACCACCCUCCUCCUGUGCCAAGUCCUGAAAGUAAACAAUAUGUUACCAACUCUUUCUCCUCCGAUCUGCUCAAUUGGAACUAUCCAAGCCCAAACCAACCCACUGCCAAGAUGUUCGGAACGGAAAGUGAUUCGACGAAUGCUAACAGUUGGAACUAUCCAAACCUCUCAAACCACACAAACUCAGGUCCUGAAAGGAAGGAAUUUUCAAAACCAGACUUUGUGAACACCAAUGGUUGGGCACCAAAAGCGGAUGCUGUUAAUGGCUGGAGCUACGCUUUGGAUAAUCAGUGGAGCGAAGCAGAUUCAAACCUGAAUACAAAGCUCACCAAUGGAUCACUUGAAGAUCUCCUCUCUCGAUCCAGUCCGAACGGAUCGUUGAAGAGGUGGGAUCAGCGCAGUCCGGGCACGAGCAUGAAAGGCAAAAGCAUCUCGCCGAACAGCUCACUACCAAUGCAUCCUAACGGGUGGCAACGCAAUAGUAACAAGGCUGGUGAUCGUGGACCGCUGUACCUGUCAGCGCAAGGUUAUGAGCACGAGAAUGAAAAUAAUAACGAAGAAUCUUGGUGCUAACAUACGCUUAACACUCCUGUACCAAGACUGAUUGUUUUUAGCAUACGUUUAGCUAACAGAUUUAGAGGAGGUUGAGUUGUUAACCGUAACAUUUUUAAUCUGCUAUGCUUUUUAAACACACAUGUGAGUUCUCAUCUUAGUAUUUUGCCAUUACAACGUCAUCUUUCAUGCAUGGUCAAAAUUGCUGAAAAAGUCACUAUUCUAUAACACAAUUCUCUUAGGAAUUCAAAUUAACCAAUUAUAUAAUGCACCUAAUCUGAAGGGUCGGCACUAUCAGCGAAUCCAUAUAAUCUUUUCCAUAAAAAAAUUGAAAAUUCAAUUCCGAAAUUUUUUAUGAAAUUACUGUCGAAAUGACUGAGCUGAUGUUACUAAGGACCCUGCCUAAACAGCCAAGGAUUUUGGUGUCGGCUAAGUUUACAAUUUAUCAUCAACAGAGAGAGGUUUAUGGGUGAGGAUAUUCCAGUUGUCGCUCAUGACAAACGAACGCUUAAUCUAGCUUCAACUUUUUUUAUUUUUCAUCAUUACUUCCCCUUGUCUAUUUAAUUUUUAUUUCCAGUCUUUCUUUUUUUUCUCUCAGUUUUUUGCCUCAUAACUUUUAUGCAAGUUGCUUUAACCCAUUCUCUCUUUUUGUUUUUCCAGGGGAAUGAAUCUAAGACGUCGUUGCAGAAUUCUGAGGUCAACAAUAAUGGCCGAAUCAUAGAUGAAAUGAGCACUGAAUUAUAAAGUGUUUCAAGGAAUACUGGAGCUCUUUUGUUUUAAUCUCCAUGAAAUGACUGCAAUUAGUCAAAAGAAUUGUAAUCGUGUACAUAGACUGUACCGAGAAAACUGAUAGUUGGCUUGGUUUAAGAAUCUAUGAUUCAUAUAUUUUUAGUUCAGAAGAUAUGAAAUGAGGAAAUUUAAUUUUUACAUGACCCUUGCUGGUUUCCAUAAAAUUGCUGCCACUCGGUAAAUUUUUGACUAAACAGACGGAAAAAGGUCUUUUUUUAUAGUAAAGUUUAUGGACUACAACCCUCUUCAAACCAUAUCUCUAAAGCUAGCUUAGUUUUAUUAAAUCAAGGCAAAUGUCAGUUGUUUUGGGACAGCAUGUGUAUGAUUCCUGGACCAUUUUGUAAAUUGCAUGUGAAGAAAGGAAAUACAGUUAAUUUUUGUAAAAAAUUGACAGGAAACUUUUCCAAUUUCUUUCAUUUCUUUAACAAGAUCUGUGUAUCUAGUCUGGUGUGAUUACUUAUCUGUAAAAUUCCUCUUUUACCUCUAGUGGUGGACAGUAUCAGGAAAAAUGCAAAAUUAAUAGACGAGAACCAGAUCCAUUUCCAUGGGCAAAGUGCGGAACCAUGUAUCUUUAUUGCGUUGUCUCAAAAUUUCCACUCCCACUUGUUUUCUUUUCUUUUUUGAAGAGAAAGGAGCCUAUUUUAUAGCUUAAAAUUUCUAAAGUAUAUUCUGCUAACACACAAGAAAAUUCAGGGAAGUUUUCAAGAAAUUACAUUGUCAAGUUUUCCAAAGAAAAAGAACGUAUGAUAGGAAGUCUGCAACGUUGUAAACAGAGAUACACUGUUUCGCACUUUUUUCAUUGAUAUAGAAAAUGUCAGGAGCUUUCUCUUUAAGUCCCCUCAGUGGAAGUUUAAAUAAUUCUCUAAUUCACCAGAAAUCAGGAAAAUAUCAGGAUUUUUAAUUGCUAAAAUUCAGGGAAGUCUUAUACUUAGUGUCUUAAUAAAAAGUCGGAGCUAUCAAUUUUUUUUAUUGCUGCUGUGUUUUCCCCUCUUUGUAUAUUUAUGAAGUAAUGGGAAGAAUGAGGAAAUUCUCUUGCUAUUUUUUUCUCUGAGCUUGAUUGCACUAUUUAUAAAAUUUUCAACUCAGGACCUCAUGAAGGAUUUUUAUUUAUGAAUGGACAAGCAUUUAAUCUCAAAAAAGGGUUUCCAAGUUUUAAUACUAUGGCUUUGUCUUAGACUGAAAUUUCUGGUUGAUGUAUAAGUUCAAAAAUAUUGAUGAAUAUUCUUCUGGUUGAUACGGAAUUUCGUCAAAAAAUAUUUUCCUUCUUUUUUCAAAAUACUCGUAUCUGCAUGAAGAUCCGAAAUCAAAUCACCCUCUAAAAUCUUUCACUUGUAUUAUGGAAGUCCUUGACUAAAAAAAUAUCUAAUUUGUCAUAAUUGCGCAAAAAAUUAGCGUUUUGUCAGGUGCUCCCUCUGAAAAAGGAGUCAUCCUACGCCAACGUGUAAAACCACACAAAAAAAGGAGUAAGAACAGCUUUAGGUGCAAAAUUUUCAGGUUUUUGUAACUUGGAUAUGUUUCUAACUUCUUAGUGAUUUUUCUUCAUCAAAUUUUUUCUGCUAUUUUUGUACGAUAUUUGUAUUCUCAUUGAAUUCCUAAUUCCCUGACAUAGCAUGAGAAAAUGUUUCGUGUCAAGAUAAUCCUCGUAUUUUGUACUACUAAGUGUCUGAUCUGUGUUCCUUGUAGCCGCAUAGUGUUAGCCCCUACAUUUUUGUACUUUUGUAUGUUCCCUUGUCUAAAUUUAACCAAAAAUUGUUGAUUCCUGAGGAUGGCAAUUUCAAGUUCUUCAUCUCUAGAAGUACAACAGGACAGCAGUUUCAUCCGAUGACUUUUUGUCCCUUUUUUUUUGCUUUCUUUAAAUUGCUUAUUUUUACCUGUAAUAAUUCUGUUGCAGCAGAGCAAAGCAAGGGUUCUCUCUUACAAAUGCAUGGUUUUGCUAAUGAAAACCAAAUUCUUUGUGAAAUAGUUGUCGAUUCACUUAUUAAUAAGGGUCAGAAAUUCUUCAUCCGAGUCGUAUAAAAAUUUGCUGUUAGUUGAGAAACAAGGAGAUCACUGCCAAAUGUUCCUGAUAAACGUAAUCCCAUCUCGCAAAACUGUUACUUUGUACUUUUCCUCUGUGUCGGAUAUUGACAGAACCUUUGGUCCAGCAAAAUUUUCCUCCACACCUGCUCAAAAUUUUUACUGCCAAAACUUGAUUACUCACAAAAUAUGUAUUCAUUUACAGAACAUUUUUGUGUGAAGUUCUCUCUAAUCAUAGCUUUACUUUUACAUCAAUUGGUGAGCAAUUGAGCAUUGAGGACCAAAAACCAUGAAUACUGCUAAAAAAUAAUCACUUUUCAGAAUUAGUAUUACAACUAAUGUAAGUCACUUUUCCUUGUUUUGGUUCCAACGACUGUAACUCUUUCCUAUGAGUUUCCAUUUUGGAUCUCACAUCCAGCCUCCUCCUAAAUGGUUUUUUACCCCUGCGUGUAAAUAUUUGUGCUAAAAAAUUUAACUCAUAUUGAAUCUGCACUCUUUAUGUACCUAAGUAUUUAUUUUUCAAUCUUUUCUACAUUUCUUAAUUUGUACCAUAAGCGCUGCUUUCAUCUUUAGUUUGUUACCAUUCUACUGUUUGUCCAAUGACUGAUGACAUUUGUACAAACUACUCAUAAUAUUUUUCUCAUUUUGUGAAGGAAGCAGAAUUCGGUAGGAAUUAUCUUGUGUUAUUUAUAUCUUUUCACUUAAUUUAUUCCUAAAUUUAUAGUAUCUAUCUUCUCACCUCAGUAUGUAACUUAAUAUUUUAUAGAAUUUUCACUUCAAAAUAAACAUUUUGUGUUCUUGACCU